rnacentral:rRNA from 1 species
GGAUUAGAUACCCGGGUAGUCCACGCCGUAAACGAUGGAUACUAGCUGUCGGGGGUAUCGACCCCCUCGGUAGCGAAGCUAACGCGUUAAGUAUCCCGCCUGUGGAGUACGGUCGCAAGACUAAAACAUAAAGGAAUUGACGGGGACCCGCACAAGCGGUGGAUCAUGUUCUUUAAUUCGAUGAUAAACGAAGAACCUUACCAGGGUUUGACAUCCCAAGAAUUUUGCCGAAAGGCGAGAGUGCUUUAUUGAACUUGGUGACAGGUGAUGCAUGGCCGUCGUCAGCUCGUGUCGUGAGAUUGUUUGGUUAAGUCCAUUAACGAGCGCAACCUUGCGAAUGUUGUUAUUUUUCUAUUCGGACUCGGACCCGGGUAAGGGG